rnacentral:rRNA from 1 species
GACGAACGCUGGCGGCGUGCCUAAUACAUGCAAGUUGAGCGCUGAAGGUUGGUACUUGUACCAACUGGAUGAGCAGCGAACGGGUGAGUAACGCGUGGGGAAUCUGCCUUUGAGCGGGGGACAACAUUUGGAAACGAAUGCUAAUACCGCAUAAAAACUUUAAACACAAGUUUUAAGUUUGAAAGAUGCAAUUGCAUCACUCAAAGAUGAUCCCGCGUUGUAUUAGCUAGUUGGUGAGGUAAAGGCUCACCAAGGCGACGAUACAUAGCCGACCUGAGAGGGUGAUCGGCCACAUUGGGACUGAGACACGGCCCAAACUCCUACGGGAGGCAGCAGUAGGGAAUCUUCGGCAAUAGACGAAAGUCUGACCGAGCAACGCCGCGUGAGUGAAGAAGGUUUUCGGAUCGUAAAACUCUGUUGGUAGAGAAGAACGUUGGUGAGAGUGGAAAGCUCAUCAAGUGACGGUAACUACCCAGAAAGGGACGGCUAACUACGUG